CAUAUGGAUUAAGUGUCCCCGCAAAUCCCAGGAUCUUACAGAUGAGGGUACAGGGCAAGGGCACUGAGGGGAGGGGGGGGGGAGGGAGCAACAUCGAGCUGGUGCAGAAGACAGGCCUGCAGCUAGUCGGAGGGCAUCCUCAGAGGGCAUGGGUACCACCCCUCCAUGGGCCUGUUCAUACCACCGUCUCUCUGGCUGGGUACCAGGCUUUAAGAAAACUGUCUGAUGGAGUGUCCUUUUUAGAUGCAAAACCUGAGGUCCACAGAGGUGCACGUGGAUGUCAGCGCCAGGGACUGAUUCCAGAGCUGGUGCUUUUCCACACAUCGGAAUGAAAUCCUAGCAACAGGAGGGAUAACAGGAGCAACAGACGGUCAUCAAGGACCCAGGCAAUCAAAUAGAGAACUAUUCUUGCAGCUUAAUCAUGGAAUACUUCCUGAGAGAUGAAAGUGUCGAGCAAGGAUUGGGCAGGGAGGUGGGAAAGGAAGGGGUCCCAACAGGAACAGGACGAGGGCCGUGUCAGAGAGUCUCCGACAUGUCGCCAUAAAUUGUCUUCUGAGGAGGAAGCCAGAUCCAACGUCCAGUUCUAGCAGUGAAGCCCCUGAGAAGAGGCUGGAAUAACCAGGGCGAAAGGGACUGGUAUGGGGGUGUGUGUGGGGGGGUGUCACUGAGUAGCUUUGCUGGCUGGACCAAUCCGGCUGCCCCACUGCAGGAUCUCCUGGAUGGACAGCCACUGGGUGAGGGGCAGGGAGGGGAUUUUAUGUAAUAAAAUUGUACAGUUGCUCCCUGAUCAAGAACCCUCAUAGCUUCCUGGAGUCCCUCAUAACACACCUAAAAUAUACUCUCAAAGCUUCCUUCAAAAAGCCCUGUCCUGCCCCGAA